GGUUAAGCGACUAAGCGUACACGGUGGAUGCCCUGGCAGUCAGAGGCGAUGAAGGACGUGCUAAUCUGCGAUAAGCGUCGGUAAGGUGAUAUGAACCGUUAUAACCGGCGAUUUCCGAAUGGGGAAACCCAGUGUGAUUCGUCACACUAUCAUUACGUGAAUACAUAGCGUAAUGAAGCGAACCGGGGGAACUGAAACAUCUAAGUACCCCGAGGAAAAGAAAUCAACCGAGAUUCCCCCAGUAGCGGCGAGCGAACGGGGAGCAGCCCAGAGUCUGAAUCAGCUUGUGUGUUAGUGGAACGGUCUGGAAAGUCCGACGGUACAGGGUGAUAGUCCCGUACACCAAAAUGCACAGGUUGUGAACUCGAAGAGUAGGGCGGGACACGUGGUAUCCUGUCUGAAUAUGGGGGGACCAUCCUCCAAGGCUAAAUACUCCUGACUGACCGAUAGUGAACCAGUACCGUGAGGGAAAGGCGAAAAGAACCCCGGCGAGGGGAGUGAAAAAGAACCUGAAACCGUGUACGUACAAGCAGUGGGAGCAUCCUUUUGGGUGUGACUGCGUACCUUUUGUAUAAUGGGUCAGCGACUUAUAUUCUGUAGCAAGGUUAACCGUAUAGGGGAGCCGAAGGGAAACCGAGUCUUAACUGGGCGUUAAGUUGCAGGGUAUAGACCCGAAACCCGGUGAUCUAGCCAUGGGCAGGUUGAAGGUUGGGUAACACUAACUGGAGGACCGAACCGACUAAUGUUGAAAAAUUAGCGGAUGACUUGUGGCUGGGGGUGAAAGGCCAAUCAAACCGGGAGAUAGCUGGUUCUCCCCGAAAGCUAUUUAGGUAGCGCCUCGUGAACUCAUCUUCGGGGGUAGAGCACUGUUUCGGCUAGGGGGUCAUCCCGACUUACCAACCCGAUGCAAACUGCGAAUACCGAAGAAUGUUAUCACGGGAGACACACGGCGGGUGCUAACGUCCGUCGUGAAGAGGGAAACAACCCAGACCGCCAGCUAAGGUCCCAAAGUCAUGGUUAAGUGGGAAACGAUGUGGGAAGGCACAGACAGCCAGGAUGUUGGCUUAGAAGCAGCCAUCAUUUAAAGAAAGCGUAAUAGCUCACUGGUCGAGUCGGCCUGCGCGGAAGAUGUAACGGGGCUAAACCAUGCACCGAAGCUGCGGCAGCGACACUAUGUGUUGUUGGGUAGGGGAGCGUUCUGUAAGCCGUUGAAGGUGUAUCGUGAGGUAUGCUGGAGGUAUCAGAAGUGCGAAUGCUGACAUAAGUAACGAUAAUGCGGGUGAAAAACCCGCACGCCGGAAGACCAAGGGUUCCUGUCCAACGUUAAUCGGGGCAGGGUGAGUCGACCCCUAAGGCGAGGCCGAAAGGCGUAGUCGAUGGGAAACAGGUUAAUAUUCCUGUACUUGGUGUUACUGCGAAGGGGGGACGGAGAAGGCUAUGUUAGCCGGGCGACGGUUGUCCCGGUUUAAGCAUGUAGGCGGAGGUUCCAGGUAAAUCCGGUACCUUUUUAACGCUGAGGUGUGAUGACGAGGCACUACGGUGCUGAAGUAACAAAUGCCCUGCUUCCAGGAAAAGCCUCUAAGCAUCAGGUAACACGAAAUCGUACCCCAAACCGACACAGGUGGUCAGGUAGAGAAUACCAAGGCGCUUGAGAGAACUCGGGUGAAGGAACUAGGCAAAAUGGUGCCGUAACUUCGGGAGAAGGCACGCUGAUAUGUAGGUGAAGUGAUUUACUCAUGGAGCUGAAAUCAGUCGAAGAUACCAGCUGGCUGCAACUGUUUAUUAAAAACACAGCACUGUGCAAACACGAAAGUGGACGUAUACGGUGUGACGCCUGCCCGGUGCCGGAAGGUUAAUUGAUGGGGUUAUCCGUAAGGAGAAGCUCUUGAUCGAAGCCCCGGUAAACGGCGGCCGUAACUAUAACGGUCCUAAGGUAGCGAAAUUCCUUGUCGGGUAAGUUCCGACCUGCACGAAUGGCGUAAUGAUGGCCAGGCUGUCUCCACCCGAGACUCAGUGAAAUUGAACUCGCUGUGAAGAUGCAGUGUACCCGCGGCAAGACGGAAAGACCCCGUGAACCUUUACUAUAGCUUGACACUGAACACUGGUCCUUGAUGUGUAGGAUAGGUGGGAGGCUUUGAAGUGUGGACGCCAGUCUGCAUGGAGCCAUCCUUGAAAUACCACCCUUUAAUGGCUGGUGUUCUAACGUGGACCCGUAAUCCGGGUUGCGGACAGUGUCUGGUGGGUAGUUUGACUGGGGCGGUCUCCUCCUAAAGAGUAACGGAGGAGCACGAAGGUUAGCUAAUCCUGGUCGGACAUCAGGAGGUUAGUGCAAAGGCAUAAGCUAGCUUGACUGCGAGAGUGACGGCUCGAGCAGGUGCGAAAGCAGGUCUUAGUGAUCCGGUGGUUCUGAAUGGAAGGGCCAUCGCUCAACGGAUAAAAGGUACUCCGGGGAUAACAGGCUGAUACCGCCCAAGAGUUCAUAUCGACGGCGGUGUUUGGCACCUCGAUGUCGGCUCAUCACAUCCUGGGGCUGAAGUAGGUCCCAAGGGUAUGGCUGUUCGCCAUUUAAAGUGGUACGCGAGCUGGGUUUAGAACGUCGUGAGACAGUUCGGUCCCUAUCUGCCGUGGGCGCUGGAGAAUUGAGGGGGGCUGCUCCUAGUACGAGAGGACCGGAGUGGACGCAUCACUGGUGUUCGGGUUGUCAUGCCAAUGGCAUUGCCCGGUAGCUAAAUGCGGAAGAGAUAAGUGCUGAAAGCAUCUAAGCACGAAACUUGCCCCGAGAUGAGUUCUCCCUGAGACUUUAAGUCUCCUGAAGGAACGUU
rnacentral:rRNA from 1 species